UCAACUCAUCCCUAGUAGCGGCGAGCGAAGCGGGAAGAGCUCAAAUUUAUAAUCUGGCACCUUCGGUGUCCGAGUUGUAAUCUCUAGAAGUGUUUUCCGCGUUGGACCGCACACAAGUCUGUUGGAAUACAGCGGCAUAGUGGUGAAACCCCCGUAUAUGGUGCGGACGCCCAGCGCUUUGUGAUACACUUUCAAUGAGUCGAGUUGUUUGGGAAUGCAGCUCAAAUUGGGUGGUAAAUUCCAUCUAAAGCUAAAUAUUGGCGAGAGACCGAUAGCGAACAAGUACCGUGAGGGAAAGAUGAAAAGCACUUUGGAAAGAGAGUUAACAGUACGUGAAAUUGUUGGAAGGGAAACGCUUGAAGUCAGACUUGCUUGCCGGAGCUUGCUUCGGUUUGCAGGCCAGCAUCAGUUUUCCGGGGUGGAUAAUGACGGUUUGAAGGUAGCAGUCUCGGCUGUGUUAUAGCUUUCCGUUGGAUACAUCCUGGGGGACUGAGGAACGCAGCGUGCUUUUUGCGAAAGACUCGUCUUUUUCACGCUUAGGAUGCUGGUGGAAUGGCUUUAAACGACCCGUCUUGAAAAACAGGGGACCAA
rnacentral:rRNA from 1 species